rnacentral:rRNA from 1 species
AACGAACGCUGGCGGCAUGCCUAACACAUGCAAGUCGAACGAGACCUUCGGGUCUAGUGGCGCACGUGUGCUUAACGCGUGGUAACCUGCCCUUAGGUUCGGUAUCCCUCCCCGAAAGGUGUGCUAAUACCGGAUAAUGUCUUCGGACCAAAGAUUUAUCGCCUUUGGAUGGGCCCGCGUUGGAUUCGCUGGUUGGUAGGGUAAAAGCCUACCAAGGAGACGAUCCAUAGCUGGUCUGAGAGGAUGACCAGCCACACUGGGACUGAGACACGGACCAGACUCCUACGGGAGGCAGCAGUGGGGAAUAUUGGACAAUGGGCGAAAGCCUGAUACAGCAAUGCCGCGUGAGUGAUGAAGGGCUUAGGGUUGUAAAGCUGUUUUACCCGGGAUGAGAAUGACAGUACCGGGAGAAUAAGCUCCGGCUAACUCCGUG